ACCAGCUCGCGCUGCAGCCUCCCCCACGCUGUUGCUAGGAGAUCACAGGGCUAUACUUCCAUCAUCUCCAUACUUGCUGGGAGAUUGAGUAAUUGGUGUCUGGAUGUGCGUGUGCUGCUUCCCAAAAUACCUCUUUAAAAAGACGUGAGAGGGAUGCGGAGCCAGUAGGGAUGGCAAAGCUCGCUAUCACGUGGAUCACCCAGACUCCCUCAUUUUACUGGUUCUUCACAGCACCCAGGAAGAUUUUAGAUGGACCUCAAAUACAAAGGCUGUGAGGAGCCCUAUUCGUUGUGUUGACACCACUGAGAGAUUAUUUUUUUCCCAGAGAAGAAAAAGGAGACACACCUGACUUUUAACCUCUUUGAUCCCUUAAAAAGUUAUUUUCCCAGCUGGGUGCAGUAGCUCCUGCCUGUAAUCCCAGCACUUUGGGAGGCCGAGGGUAAAGCAUUGGCUUCCGUAUCUUUCAAAUUGUCCCGAGUGAUUCUGAUCCACAGUGAAAACUGAAAACUGUUCUAAUAUUCACCUUGCCGGAAAAGUAAGACUAUGUGAAGUGAACCCUCCUUCAAAUUGGAGAAGGAAGCUUUGAGAUUUCCAGGGAAGAUGGAAGACAGAACAGCUUGAGCCAUUUGGGUGCGGUGUAGAACUGGAAAUUGUGUCAAGGUUGACUGAGCCCUGUUUCUGGUCUAAGAAAGUUAAAACUUGUAUUCAAAAUGGAUAUCAAGACAACAUAAAAUGAAAUGACUGAUUUUGAAGAUUGAGAAUUAGGAAUAUUGUACAGAUGCUGUCAUUCCUACAUGAAGGAGGCAGAAGAAUGUAGCAAGCUCAGCUCUCUAAUGCCAGGAGUGGCACUUUCAGUGACCAGAGCUCCCUGGGUCCUCUGUGUAUCCCUCCCCUGUCAACUGAUUCAACAGAGGCUGGGCUGGUCCUGGCAUUAGCACAUUUUUGAAUCUGCCUUUGGCUGUGACUUCACCCAAAGACAGAAAGGGGAAGUUUCUGGUCUACAUAGCCAACAUGUGGUCUUGAUAAUAAAUCAUUGCUUGUUUGGAAGAAUUUGGUCUGAGCCUUACUUUUAUUGUAAAACACUACCUGUAGAUGGCAGAUGGGGCAUGGGACCUUUAGGCCUUAUCCAGCUCUAAACAUGGGAGGCUACCAAAGACUCUGACGUUUGGCAAAUGGCCAAAUUUGCAGAGAUCUUAUUGCAAGAGAGGCGUUCCUAAAUCUGAGUUCUAACAUCACCCCUUUUCUAGCUCCAGAGCCCCAUUGCUAGGCAGCUCCCUUCACCUGGAGACUCAUCCUCCCCUAGACUAAUGAGUGAAAGUGGGUGGGAUUAGUAUUAAGUUGUGCAAAAAGCAAUUGUGGUUUUUGCCAAAGUUGUGUCAAAGACUGGAAUUGCUUUUGCACCAACCUAAGCACUGGGCCAUAGGAAGGCACCAAAAAUACCUAGCUGGUGGCUCUGGCGUGACUUUUUGCUUAAGCUUAGUGGCUAAAUUCUCAUCCUGUCCCUAAUGACGAAAGUCCUUCCUCACAUCCCAGGUUCAAUUUGCUAGAGACUGUCUAGUCUCCUUGAACUUUGAAUCUUGGCUUUAGCUCCUGCUGAUAACCUCAUUCCUACAGGACUGGGCCACGGAACUGCUUUAUACCAGUCUCUCGGUGGCCUGGAGCCCAGACCCUGAACCUAAGUCAUAUGGCCAGCCCAGACCCUAACUUCAAGGCUUCCUUAUGCCAGUCAGGUACCUGCCUUUCUGCCUAUUGCCUGGAGCUGAGCCCCCUGCGUUCUUCAAUUUCAUAGAGUUGACUAAGGAUUAAAUGAGUUAAUGUAUGAAACUCCUUGGCAAAUACUAAGCAUUAUCUUUACUGGUUAAUUUCUUUUGACAGUUUUUGACAGCUUCCUUAACUCUUAGUGACUCAGUUUUCUCAUCUGUAAACUGGGAAUAAUAAUAGUACCUGCCUCCUGGGAUAGGUGUAAGGGUUGGAUGAGUUAAGAAUCUGUAGUGAGAUGAGUAAUGUCCCCUCCAAAAAAAGAUAUACCCACCUCCUAAUCUCCAGAACCUGUGAAUAUUAACUUAUAUGGCAAAAGUUGUGAUGAAGUUAAAGAUCUUGAGAGAAGGCACUUAUCUGGAUUUUCUGGGUGAGCCCUAAAGGCAAUCCCAUGUAUCCUUAUAAAACAGAUACCCAUCACACCUGUAAUCCCAGCA
rnacentral:lncRNA from 1 species